rnacentral:pre_miRNA from 1 species
CCUGUUGCGACGUACUUCUUUACAUCGCCAUACUAACGUCGAAAAGAGCUAUGGAAUGUAAAGAAGUAUGUAGUGGCGGA